rnacentral:rRNA from 1 species
GACGGAGGGUGCAAGCGUUGUUCGGAAUCACUGGGCGUAAGGCGCGUGUAGGCGGUUUGAUAAGUCGAAUGUGAAAGCCCGAGGCUCAACCUCGGAAGUGCAUUCGAAACUGUCAGGCUUGAGUACGGGAGAGGGAAGUGGAAUUCCUGGUGUAGAGGUGAAAUUCGUAGAUAUCAGGAGGAACACCGGUGGCGAAGGCGGCUUCCUGGACCGAUACUGACGCUGAGACGCGAAAGCGUGGGGAGCAAACAGG